CAAUUCUGGUUGAUCCUGCCAGAGGCCAUUGCUAUCCGAGUCCGACUAAGCCAUGCGAGUCGAGAGGGGUAAGCCCUCGGCGAACUGCUCAGUAAUGUACAGUCAACCUACCCUUAGCUGGGGGAUAAUCUCGGGAAACUGAGGCUAAUACCCCAUAGGUGCUAGGUACUGGAAUGUCCUAGCACCGAAAGCUACGGCGGCUAAGGAUGGGACUGUACCCUAUCAGCUAGUUGUGGGGGUAACGGCCCCACAAGGCGAUAACGGGUACGGGCUAUGGAAGUAGGAGCCCGGAGAUGGACUCUGAGACAUGAGUCCAGGGCCUACGGGCCGCAGCAGGCGCGAAACCUUUACAAUUCGCUAGCGCGAGAUAAGGGGACUCGGAGUGCUCUUGCUCUGCAAGAGCUUUUGCCCACUGCAAAUAGGUGGGCGAAUAAGGGGUGGGCAAGACGGGUGCCAGCCGCCGCGGUAAUACCCGCGCCCCGAGUGAUGGCCACGAUUAUUGGGUCUAAAGCGUCCGUAGCCGGUCCAACAAGUCUUGAGUGAAAUCUUCCAGUAAACUGGAAGGCGUGCUCAAGAUACUGUUGGACUUGAGACCAGGAGAGGGUAGGGGUACUCUUGGGGUAGGGGUUAAAUCCUGUAAUCCCAAGGGGACCACCUGUGGCGAAGGCGCCUACCUAGAAUGGGUCUGACGGUGAGGGACGAAAGCUAGGGGAGCGAACGGGAUUAGAUACCCCGGUAGUCCUAGCCGUAAACGAUGCCCACUUGGUGUUGCAAGCUUCUUGGGAGCUUGCAGUGCCGGAGCGUAGGUGUUAAGUGGGCCACCUGGGGAGUACGGCCGCAAGGCUGAAACUUAAAGGAAUUGGCGGGGGAGCACACAAGGGGUGGGCGUUGCGGUUUAAUUGGAUUCAACGCCGGACAUCUUACCAGUGCUGACAGCAGAAUGAGGGUCAGUCUGAAGGGCUUACCAGACAAGCUGAGAGGUGGUGCAUGGCCAUCGUCAGCUCGUACCGUGAGGCGUGCCGUUAAGUCGGUUAACGAGCGAGACCCACGUCCUAUGUUGCUAACCUCUUCUUCGGAAGAGGUGCACUCAUAGGAGACCGCUGGUGAUAAACCAGAGGAAGGUGUGGGCGACGGUAGACAAGCAAAAGCUCUCAAACCGGCCUUUAUGAUAAAAUGAAUAAAGGCAUCGCCAGAGAGCUAAUAUGGCUUUUGCUUGGCCGAAGUCCGUAUGCCCCGAAUGCACUGGGCUACACGCGACGCACAAUGCGCGCCACAAUGGGAUGCAACCCCGAAAGGGGAAGCAAAUCCCCUAAAAGCGCGCCCAGUUCGGAUUGAGGGCUGUAACUCGCCCUCAUGAAGCCGGAAUCCCUAGUAGGCGAACGUCACUAAGUUAGGAAAUUUGGCAGGAGUUUCCUAACGUGGAGUCGUUCGCCGAAUACGUCACUGCUCCUUGCACACACCGCCCGUCAAGCCAACCGAGUGAAACUUAAACGAGGCAUACGAUGAGUAUGUCGAGUUUAAGUUUCGCGAGGGGGGCUAAGUCG
rnacentral:rRNA from 1 species